GUCCAGCUGACGAGUCUCAAAUAGGACUAAACGCGCGUCCUGGAU
rnacentral:hammerhead_ribozyme from 1 species